rnacentral:misc_RNA from 1 species
AAGUCGUAACAAGGUUUCCGUAGGUGAACCUGCGGAAGGAUCAUUACAGAGUUCAUGCCCUCACGGGUAGAUCUCCCACCCUUGAAUACUAUACCUUAGUUGCUUUGGCAGGCUGUGGAAACACCACGGGCCUCGGCCUGCGCGUGCCUGCCAGAGGAAAUACAACCCUGUUUUUAAGUGAUGUCUGAGUACUAUAAUAAUAGUUAAAA